CACUCAUUUUGUAUUAUUUUCUCAUUUGUUCUUUUAUUAUUCAAUUUCUACCACAUACUUCACAAUGCUACUGAAGGAAACAGAGUUGGCACUGUGAGGAGUAUUUCUUGCACAUCUGUAUCAUAAAGUAUUGUACUACGGUGCGCAUGUAACUUGCUAAAAGCUUACUCUGUGGGAAUACAAUUGAUUAUUGCAGGACCUUGUGUAUGCUUCCCAAGGCAACUCUGGUUCAUGUGCACCGUAGUGGGCAAGUGUUUUGAGGCAAACAUCAAUCACAAUGUAGCAGAAAAUGUCAAUUUAGAACUACAAAAUCAGGAAAAUCUGAAUGUGGGGGACAACAUGAAAUGCUAUUAGACUUACUACACCAAAAGUUUAGCAGUUCAAGCUUACCAGGUAUUCUAACUAAUAGGCUUUGUUCCAUUCCUAGAAGACCUGAUACUUGGGAUGCAUAGUUAGCUUGGGCAAUAGGAGUUCUAAAAGGCAGGAAAACUUUGUUGUUAUCAUUUUGAAGUUUCUUGGAUUGCUCUUAUAUAUCCAACUUUGGAUGGAGAAAACUCUCAAUGGCAUGAGAACAACUUAAAGAUGAAAAAGCUACAUUCAAUAUUAUUGUCGUAAAGGUUAGAUGUACUGGCAUCAAGCUGGCAUAUUGUGAAUUCUGCCAGAAACAAAGGGAAAUGAUCUUUGUAUGAAUGCUCUAUGGUGGGUUUCUCAUCUUUCUUCCGUCAAUAUUUUUGCACAAGUGGUGUCAACCUUCAAAGGGGAACAAAAAUUUGCUCCAGGUAAUGAAUUAGCUCCCUUCUCUUUCAGCAACAUGGUUGCCUCAAAGCCAACUUCAUGACACACAUUGGUCCCUAAAAAUGUCAAUUUUACAUCCCACUUAAUCUUUCUAUGAAUCAUUUAAUGGCCAAAAAGCAAUUAGUAAUAAACUUUCGUACCUUUCCUUAGGCUCCAGUAAUCUACAAGGCCAAGUACGGAGUACCAAACUAAAUUUUUGGGACCUUAACAUGUUUUUGUCCAGUAGUCAGCUUAGAGGGGAAAAUCCCAGAUUUCUUAGACCAAUUUAGGCAUCUUGCAUAUCAUUUUUUGUAUAUAUGAUAACUUCUUCGAUGGUCCCAUCUCAAAAUCUCUUGGAAAAUUGUUAACCUUGUGGACAUUACAUCUUAAAUUGAAUCAAUUGAAUGGGGGAACCACACUAGAAAGCUGGGUUCUACUUUCAUACU